CGGACAGGGCGACUUCUAUGUAGAUGAGGCAGCGCAGAGGCUGCUGCUUCGCCACUUGCUGCUUCGCCACGAAGGAGUUCCCGUGCCCUGGGAGCGGGUUCAGGACCGCGGAUCGGAAAUUCUCCAGUACAAGAAGAGGUUCUCGGAGCUGGAGCAGCUGUUGGAGAGAUCCGGAGAGCUGGAGCAGCAGCAGCUGAGGGUGGGUGCCAGGGUGGGGCAGAGGCAGGCCCUGCCCUCCACCUGCCCAGCCUGAUGCUUUAACCUCUCUGCCACCCAGGACGCAGAGCACAGCCAAGACCUGGAGAGUGCCCUCAUCUGGCUGGAGGAGGAGCAGCAGGGAGGGCCAGGGCUGGCAGCAUGGCCCCCUGGGCGAGCGCCUACUGAUCCCCUGUGCCCCAUUCAGGAGUGCCAGCCUGGCCCAGGUGAAUGCCAUGCUCUGAGAACAGCUGGACCAGGCAGGUUUGGCCAACCAGGCUCUGAGUGAGGAGAUACGAAAGGUGACCAGUGACUGGACUCGCAGCUGCAAGGAGCUGGAGCAGUGGGAGGCGGCAUGGAGGCGCGAGGAGGAGGUGG
rnacentral:lncRNA from 1 species